UACCGAGUAGCCAGCCAACUUCCCAAAUGAAGGAUCCUCACCAAGUUUAUUUUUUAUUCACAUAAAGUCCAAGAUGAGUGCCCUGAUUGGAAGGCAGCCUUCCUCCCAGCAGAGGUUCUUUCCAUCUUGCAGCUCUGCCAUCUCCUAGAUCAUGAGGCCAUGGCUAUAGAGAAAAGAGAGGUGGAAGGGACACCUGUCUGCUUCUUAACAUCCUCAGCCCAGAAGAGAGAGAGACUGCCUCUGCUCAUGCUCCACCAGCUUGACGGCAGGGGAGCUGGAGCUGGAGUCGAGCUGGGUAUCUGGGAAGAGGAGAUGAGUUUGGUGACCAGAUACCCAAUCCUACUACAACAGGAAGCCCCACGAUGGCAAGGGCUGGGUGGAAGUCCUCUCUUCAGCCUCACACCUGGCACCACAGGGGAGGGCCCUGGCCGUCCUGAUGAACACGUCUGUGGAGGGAAGGCACGUCCUCCUGAGUCAUCAGUUUCCUGGGGCUGAGCCCGGGCCCUGCUUGUCAGCAUAUUGCUCACUGAUCUGGAAAGCUUUCCUGUCGUCUAGACACUCCCAUCCCCGUUCUAAAGAGACCUUCUAAAGGAGUUUUUAUCUCUCCUUCUACGUGAGGGGUGUGAUGGCGCAGCGGUCACACGCGUGUGAACUCUGGAAUCGGCCGGAUUUGAGUGGGCACCAUACCUUCUCCUCUCGGCUCACUGUGAGAGCAGCAAAGCCCUCUGAGCCUCAGUUUACUUCUCUGUAAACUGAGGACGAUCAGAGCUUGGUUGUGAAGAUUAAACUGACGUAGUGACAAAAUGCUUAGACCCACAAUGGAUGCAGGUUAUUAUUACUUUUAGUAACAACCCAAAAGAGAGGCCAGGCUACGGGGCAGGCCAGCAAUCCUGUCCCAAGUCCUGCUCUGAGCCCUGCUUUCUACUUCCUCCAGCCUCUCAGGCAAGUUCCACUUUAGGUCAGAGCGAAAUGAGAAAGCUCUGAGUGUUCUGGGCCCUUGGGGGAGACUGAGAACAGCUGAAUCCAUGAAUGAUGCCUCUGAAGGUGCCAGGGACGCCUGGCCCCACCCUCACCCAGCGCCAGAGCACUGCCUGCCAGACCCUUGUCAGCGGUUACAACCUCCAACUGCCUCCCGCUGCCCCAGUUUUAUCAAAAGCUCAGUUGAGAGAAAUAAAGUUCAUGGGGGUUAUUUAAAGGCCACACAUUCCAUCCAUUCUUCCAGAUGAGACUUAUCCCUGAAACGACUUGGGCUCUCAUGGAGCCAAGCGCCUCUUGGACCAUGUUAUUUAACCACCACAAAAUCUUUCUUAUGUUCCUCCUUUAUGGUGGGGCUUUCUGGAAAAAAGGCCAGAGGAGUCUGCUACUGCAUUUAUUUUGGGAUGCUGUUGUCUCUAGUAGUCACUGCCUCAGCCAGUGCUGGCUAUAAGACCUGGGAGCUGAAUAUAUUUCAGGAUCCAGUUUCUGGUGAAGCUCUGUAUCCUCAGAGGAACUGGUGGGCUUCUGAUUAUGGGCAAUCCACUCAUGAAACUGGCCCCCAUUCUCAUUUCAUUUGGACUACCAGGAAUCUCAGAGCCAAAUUUGGGGCUCAGCUUGAAGAAUCUUAGAAGGUCUCUGGGCCUGCUGUGUAAGGAAGGUGAUUUCUUUCCAGAUGCUGAUUGCUAAGAGAUGAGAUGAUGGUAGCGAUGAUGAUGAUGAUAAUAUUGUAUGUAUCUUGUCAAUUGCUUUAGGGCUCUAGGGGGACCAGAGUGGGAAUUUCCACCCUGGAAAACAGGGAUGGAUAAUUGGCCAGGGUCGGUGGAGAAGGAGGAAGUGACAAGGAGGAGAUAGUGCCAGCCGCGGUGUCCACGGGAUGCAUCUCUUUCUAGGCCACAGUGGAGGUGGUUAAGGGUCUAAUUUAACUGAACCAGAGGGUGUGAAAAGAGGAUUUUCCAUGAAUUUGUGAAGAGAACCACAGCCAUUGCUCAACUUCAACUUCUCCCUGUGGCCCACCCCGCCCCCUGCCUUUCUGGGUAUUUUUGUCAUAUUGUGAAACCCCGAAGCUUGCAGUGUCGCCUUUCUCUUCCUCUUCACUCCGCGGCCCAGGCACUCCCACCCACCUUUCCCUUUUUCCUUCUUGGCCCUUCUGCAUUUUCCCCCAUUCCACCACCCCCUGGGCUCAGGGGCGAGAGCUGGGCUGCCCACUGUGGCUGUGUGCCCAUCUCUGGGUGACAGCAGAGGCCCUCUGGUCUAAAGCCCACAGCUUUGCCGGCUGGAGCAAACAUAAGGGCGAUGAGGAGUUCAGACCCCUCCAGGGAGCAGCAACAGAGUAGUGACCAUUCAUUGAACUUGUUACUGUCUGCCAAACACUGAGGAACCAUUACCACCACCCUUUUAUUGGAUUCAUUUUAAUGAGUCGUAUGCCUCAGCAGCUCAUUGUCCCAGCCAGGCCCGUUCAUCCAUCGGUUUACCCAUCUAUCUAGUCCCAGGAUUCUCAGUUUCAACACUGCUGACCAUUUGUGGCCAGAUUUGUCUUUGUUGUAGGGGCUGUUCUGGGCAUUAUAGGAUGUGUAGCAGCAUCCUUGGUCUCUACCUACUAAAUGCCAAAUAGCAACCCCCCUCCACCCCAUGACUACCAAAAAAGUCUCCAGACAUUGCCAAUUAACCCCUGGUGAGAGGGGGCAAAAUCAUCCCUAUUGCCCCAGUCCUCUCUGAUAGAACCUCUCUGACAUGUUAACAGGUAUUUCUUUUGUGUAUGAUCUUGCAGCUCUGUUAACUGCCUGCUCAUAUCAUUUGCCCAGUUUUCUAUUCUGGUUCCCAUUUUCUUCUUUUGAUUUGCAAAGGGCGGUCCUUGUAUAUUUUAGAUAUUGGUCCCAUGUUGAUUUGGAUCUGUGUUUUCUUCUCUUUUUCUGCUAUCCAUGUAUUAAUUCUCACCUUACAGGUGAGGACACAGGGGCACAGAGCUCAUGACUCUAGUAAAUGGCAGAGCCUGGGACACAAGUCCAGGUCUCUGUCCUCAGAGCCUAGGCACUGGACCUCUGGGGCACAGUGACAUCCCUUCCUUCCAAAUAUGUCUUCACAGGAAAGCAGAGAAUCCCAUGGACAGAGGAGCCUGGCAGGCUAUACCGUCCAUAGGGUCGUGAAGAGUCUGACAUGACUGAAGCAACUUAGCAUGCAUGUACGCGUGUAGACCGGGAUGCAUACUGUGCGGUGUCCCCAGGAAGGUGUCCGGCUCCUCCUGGACUGACGUGGGGCCCAGGAUCCAAGGUGGCAGCAGGAGGAAUACGGCACAAAUCUCCAGAGGCCUGGACGGUUCCCGAGGGGCCUGAUUGAAGAUUCUCAUGCCCCAGUUUCCUGUUCUUGCUGGCACCCAGGAGGAGCCGUCCCACUGCCCUGUACCAAGUGCCCUGGCACAGGGGGGACAGUGGUGUUCCUGGUGACCAUGUGGUCACACUCCCCCUGCCCCCGCCAAGCCCGCUGCCCUGCCAAAGACGGCACCUGUUGGGUGCCGCACUGUGCUGCCUCCAGACCCAGCUUUGCCCAUGCCUGUGUUUGUGGGGGUGGAGUGAGGGGUGGAGGUGGGGGGGGCACUGUAACCUUCACCCCAAGCUCUCUCACAGAAGAUCCUGCCCCCACCAGAAAUGCGCUGAGCAAAGCUUCUCUUCCCAAGGCGGCCUCACCCCAGAGGACCACGAGAAGAGACACUAAGAGGCAAGAGGGCCCCUCUGUCCCAACACUGACCAUGCCACCCUGGCCGCAGAGAUGGUGCUGCCAUAUUUCUUAGGAAUGUCACAGAACUGGCAUCCAGAGGGACUGCUCUGGGGAUGGGCAGAGAAGGGGGGCCUGCAUGGGUGGCACCUCUGUGGCCGAGCAUCUGAGGCCAGAAGUGCACCUCUCAAGAGCCUGAUUAGUGUGUCCUGGCAAAGAAGGCCACUGGACUCAACUCAACUCAAGACUUCCACUCACUUUGUCAUUCAAUGAGUCUUUACUGAGUGCCAACUGUUGUGCUAAGUGCCGGGGAUGCAGACGAGAGCAGACCAGACAUAGUGUCCCUGGUGGGGGAACUUGAGGGCUUAUUGUGCAUCUGUGUCUCCACCAUACCCAUGAGGAUGGCCAUGGUGCCGGGGCAGAAAGAGGCAAGACCCUUCCUCCCAUGGUCUCACUGGGGAGAAAAGAUGCACACACAUGAAACACUCAGAAUGAGACAAAGAUGAAAUAAACACCUGAUUGACUCUGGUAACCACAGGUUGAAGUGAACAUGACCAGGUUUCGGGUUCAGGCUAUGAAGGUCUGUAAGUGCUGUCAGUGGACCUGAUGGGGCAGCCCCACUGGGCCUGAGUUACUUUUUUCAGGCUUCUUGGAAGAAUCUGAUUAGGUGGGCCUGAUUAUUAACCUUGAAAAAAGGCAUCAGUUCUGCCAUGAGUGUAUUGCACUGGAAAAUCUCUAUAGAUUCUGCCAUCUUUCUUGAUUCCUUUUUCCCAUUUCCUCCUUCUCCUCCUCCUUCCUGCAUUCUCACUUAGAACAGAAAACCUUCCACGGUCAAUGACUGGAUGCCAGGUUUGGUUAAAUGUCUUUUGUUUACAAAGCAUGGUGCUAGCUGCAACAGGAUUAUAGAGAUAAACCACACAGACCUUAUCCCUAAGUGAGUGAAGUCCCUUAGUUGUGUCCAACUCUUUGCGAGCCCAUGGACUGUAGUCUACCAGCCUCCUCCAUCCAUGGGAUUUUCCAGGCAAGAGUACUGGAGUGGGUUGCUGUCCUCUAAAGAUCUGCAAACCAACUUGGGUUCACAGAUUGAUAUAAUAGGAGAGAGUGAAAGAUGUGUGCAAGCAUGCAGACAACAAGAAAGUCGAGUCCUAUCCCUGGUAUAGGAUUUGGAAUAUUGAUUCUGUGUUAUUUGUGUGUGUGGUAUGCUGCCUUCUCUUCGUUGUUCGUUUUUAUCUCAAACUUCAGAAAAAUUAUAAGAAUAUUACAGGUAAUUUCUGUUAGCCCUUUUCCAAGAUUCACCAAUUUUUUACAUUUUAUGGAAUCAUUUGAGAACAAGUUAGAGACAUUUUGCUCUUUUACCCCUAAACACUUCAGCGUGUAUUUCAAGGACAUUGUUUUACAUAGCCUGGUUUCCUUUUAGUUGAACCUUUUUCCUCUCACUUUCAGAAAGUGUUGGAUCACUCUAUACUCUAAAUAAAGUUUAUUUAAUAGGAGACAGCUAGCUUGAUUUUCUGCUUGAGGCUAUGCUGGUGGCCUGGCCACUGGGGACUGCUGGGUCACAGGGUCCCCUGAGAACCUCUGCUGGUUUCAGUGGCUGUGCCUGAAUUGGCUUGCUGCUGGACAGCCGAACUGCCCCCUCUGAGGCCUGGCCAGGCCUUGGCUGAACUCUUGCUCUCUUUCUUUCCACUUUGUUCUUAAGUUUUCUGCACAUUCUCCCGCCCACAGAUAUGAAUGUCGCAUGAUGUUGACUUUCCAGUGUCUGGCAUGGCCUGGUGGAAGCAGAGUGAGCUUGACUAGACUUUCUCUCUGGGCCUUAGAGGCCAGCCUGGGCUCUCUGAAAACACAGAAGGCUUCCUUUCCCUGACUUGCAGGAGCGAGGCGCUAUGGCAUGCUCUGGCUCCCAGGCCUGUGGUCCUGCUCAGGACUGGCCGUCUUAGGCUGAGGGAACAUUUUCCAGAGUACAACUGAGGGACAGAACGUCUCCAUGAAAUGCGUUGGGAUGGGCAGGGUUUUGGAAAGGCCCCUGCUUGUUCUGGGAGGUGUUCAGGAGGCUGAGGUUUUGGAGAUCCAUGGUGGUUUUUCAUGACUGCUCCCGGUGUGGGGAGGAGGAAUGGAUGGGUGCGCAUUUCCUUGGGUUCAGUGGCAGAGGUGAAGCCCAGGACUGUUGGCCCUGGACAAGGCCCUCUGCUGGGCCCAGGGAGGGUGCUGGGCUUUGAAGGGGAACACUGCCUGGAGGACUGGCACGUGGAAUCAUGAGAUGCUGUUCACAUACGCUGAGCCUUGGCCAGAGCUCUCCCAGCACUGGGCAGGACACAAACCCCAAAUGAUCUUCAGUUUCCACUCAAGGGUGCCUCUGAUGGAGCAGGUAGGAGAAAACCCCAGUGAACCUACAAGACAGAACAUACUGGAAUAACUAGACAGAUCGAUCUCCUGCAAAUAAAGGCCAUAGAAGAGGGAGCCCAGAGCAGGCCUGAGCAGUCAGGAAGUGUUCUGGGGAGGAGGGGAAGACUCCUUUUCGGCAGCUUCUCCCUCUGUUCUUGCACACAGCCACCCAGGGUCCCGUUCCAGCUCUGUUCUAUCCCCUUGGGCAGGUGGAUUUACAUCCCUGAACCUGUUUUCUCCUCUUUGAAAUAAGAAAUGGGGCACCUGAGCCAUCUCUCGGGGGCAGUGAGUACUAAGAGAUAAUCCAGCCAGGUCAGGGGGCUGCAGCAGAGCUUGGAGAGCUUAUGAAAAUGCAGAAACCUGCGCCCUAGCCCAGACCUUGGGAGCUGAUUCUCUGGGGGUGAGGCCCAGGCUUGUAUAGGUUUCCUUUUGAACAGGCUCCCCAGGUGGUCCUUGGAGCAGAGGUCAGGUAACCGUGGGGUCUUUGCAUUCUCGACCCCUGACUCAACCACACGCGGCCGGGAUCUAGACUCAGGCCUCUAUUCUUUGCAGUAUUUUCCCUGGUGUCGACAGCGGUGGGUACAGGUGGGGGCACCCUGGCCUUCCCACCUGGCGAUCCAGCACCUCCACCCCCUCCCCGCCCCUCACGCGGGAGCUGAGCCGAGGUCCUGAAUGUAUCCGCUCUCUCCUUCCCUAAGAACCAGUCUCAAUGCCUCCCAUUACCAUCUCCAUGGCAGUCGCCUCCAGGGCCCCAUGGAAAUCACAAGGCUUUCUGAGGAGUCGUGCAGACUUGAGAAAAGACCCCGGGCCCCCUGCCCACCCCGGGCUCCCCGGCCCUCUAAUCCUGCUCGGAGCGCGGACACAGAGCUCCCUCUCUCCUUCGCGGCCAGGCCUCUCAUUCUCCCACAGAGCUGACGUUUCUCUGCGGCCCAGCUGGCUGCAGUUUUUAGAAAUAACAAUAUCCCCGGGGGG